rnacentral:rRNA from 1 species
AGUCGAACGAACUUAACCAUUAGUUUACUAGUGGAGCGGUUAGUGGCGGACUGGUGAGUAACACGUAAGCAACCUGCCUAUCAGAGGGGAACAACAGUUAGAAAUGACUGCUAAUACCGCAUAUGCCUUGAGUAUCACAUGGUACAAAAGGGAAAGGGGCAAUCCGCUGAUAGAUGGGCUUGCGUCUGAUUAGAUAGUUGGUGAGGUAACGGCCCACCAAGUCGACGAUCAGUAGCCGGACUGAGAGGUUGAACGGCCACAUUGGGACUGAGAUACGGCCCAGACUCCUACGGGAGGCAGCAGUCGGGAAUAUUGCGCAAUGGAGGAAACUCUGACGCAGUGACGCCGCGUGCAGGAAGAAGGUUUUCGGAUUGUAAACUGCUUUAGACAGGGAAGAAACAAGACAGUACCUGUAGAAUAAGCUCCGGCUAACUACGUGCCAGCAGCCGCGGUAAUACGUAGGGAGCAAGCGUUAUCCGGAUUUAUUGGGUGUAAAGGGUGCGUAGACGGGAAAUUAAAUUAGUUGUGAAAUCCCUCGGCUUAACUGAGGAACUGCAACUAAAACUGAUUUUCUUGAGUGCUGGAGAGGAAAGUGGAAUUCCUAGUGUAGCGGUGAAAUGCGUAGAUAUUAGGAGGAACACCAGUGGCGAAGGCGACUUUCUGGACAGUAACUGACGUUGAGGCACGAAAGUGUGGGGAGCAAACAGGAUUAGAUACCCUGGUAGUCCACACCGUAAACGAUGGAUACUAGGUGUAGGGUGUGAUAA